AGUCAUCCCUCAAGGUUCUCACUUUGAGAUCUGGCAGAGCCUGGAGCUCCGUACUCUGCUGAUGGUGUCUGCUUCCCUCAGACCAAGGUUCUGAUUCCGAGUCCCCUGAGGUGGCAGUGGGGGGAAGGGUGUGGUGGGGGGACAAGGCUGCUGGGGUCUUUCAGGGCUGACAUGAGGGUCUGAGCUGAAUUAUGUGGCCCCUCUAUGUGGUGUGGGUGGACCCUCAGUCCUCACUCAGGAGGGUCCUCUUCUUGACUCUUGGCUCUUUUAGGAGAUACUCUGUUUCUGUCACCUCUGAGCAUUUGCACAGCUGCACCCCUUGCAGAGAAUGGCUGCGGGUCCCAGGCCAGAUUCUCCCUGUGGGUUUGCAGCACCUAAGAUUGUAGUGACCUCUGGGAGAAGAGGCACACCUUCCCACGGGGGCUCUUCCCCAGCUAGAAGAGGAUUUUGCAAAACUUUUGUACUAAAUGAUUUAUUUUUACACUGAAGAAACUGAGUAGCUGCAAUAAAUUUGUGGAAGUCCUGAGUUUUGAAGUUACCUAACAAUUCCUAUUCCACUUUAGUGAUUUUCAUAAUUUAAUUCGCAUUCGUAUAGUAAGAAACGAAUUUUAAAUCUAUGCCAAUUGUAUAUGUGCAUUAUAUUUAUGUUUAUAUGCAUAAACACAUAUGUAUGUAUAUGUUUAUAUUAUAUAUGUGUAAUUAUAUGAAUGUAUGUGUAUAUAUCUUUACAUAUAUUUAUACAUAUAUGUAUGUCGACUAUACGUACUUAUUUUAUCAAACAAUAUCUACUCAUACAAUGUGUGAUUCACUCAUACUAUUCUAUUUCUAGUUCAUUAUAUAUAUUUGAUUAAAAUAAUAGUAUUUUGGAAGGUAGUCCUAACCUACUCUUUGUUUCUAGUUGUUAUUAGCAGAAUUCUGGAGCCAUGGUGUCUCAAUCAAUCCAAUUUUCCUGGUGUCCUGAUAUUACCCCUGGGCUACUGGCUUCGUGUUUUGAGUUGAUUUUGGGAGUAGAGCACAGCAGCCUGGGCUUGAUUGUCACUUUGGCAGCUACAGCAUUCACUGCAGCUGUGAACGGUAGCAGUGAAAGCAUACAUCAAUGACUUGCUCCUGACGAGAAUGGGAAUGCUUCUAACAUUUCACAUUCAAGAGAAGGAGCCUUGGAGAAUUCGUUGAAUAAUUGCCCGUAUUUUGGGAUUAUUUGGAAGAGUUAAUAUGGUGAUUCGUUUUCCCUGACCACUUGGGGGAACUGACCCACAAA
rnacentral:lncRNA from 1 species